CUGAUGACUGUAUCUUCGAUUUUCAUGUUCUAUCACAGCCACGCACGGCAAUAACGUCAUUUUGCUUUUACAACACUUUAGUUAAUAUUCGCUUGCACCAUUCACGUAUGUUUAAAACUACUUUUACAAUUUAAUCUUGCAUUUUCUGACGAAUCGUGUUUUACAAUUUUAGUCGCAAACGACUAAUCACGGCGACACACUGAUCUUUAUGAAAUUUCUAAUUAGAGCAUCGUCCUAACUACCUCCAAAUAAUUUAGAAAAAAUAUAAUUGUGUAUAUUUUUCUCGAAACUCAAGAGGAUCUACCGAUUUCUUGAAGUCUGUUUCAUCUUAACGAUAAUAAUAUUCCAGGUGUUAGCUUAGGGCCAACCAACUUGUCCGUUAAAGUUUUGUCUCAAUUUAUUUCAGCUGCAUGGUAUACUUUUGUCGAAUAUUGUCAUAGAAUAUUGCGUACUGUUGUCUAGAGCAUGUUGACACACCGGAGACUUAUACUAACUAUACUAAGCAGUCACUCUCUUGGCGUCUCCAAUAUGUAGUAUUUACCCAUCCCAUAGCUCACGAAAACGCAAGUAAAAGAUACUUUAGGGGUUUCGUGGUCACAGACUACUUGGGUGUAACACACACACAACACUACAUUUUAAUGUUGGGCUACAUCAAUUUUUUCUAUAUAAAAAAUGACAUUCAUGUUUCUUUCUGUUGAAAUAAUAAAGUGAGAGCAAUAAAUGUAAAAUUAAACAGUGAAA